rnacentral:rRNA from 1 species
GAUGAACGCUGGCGGCGUGCCUAAUACAUGCAAGUCGAGCGAAGCGGGGACGGGUGAGUAACACGUGGAUAACCUCCUAUAAGACUGGGAUAACUUCGGGAAACCGGAGCUAAACCGGAUACUUAUCGAUGGAUCCGCGCUGCAUUAGCUAGUUGGUCAGGUAACGGCUUACCAAGGCAACGAUGCAUAGCCGACCUGCGAGGGGGAUCGGCCACACUGGAACUAGGACACGGUCAAGAAUCCUACGGGAGGAAGCAGUAGGGAAUCUUCCGCAAUGGGCGAAAGCCGGACGGAGCAACGCCGCGUGGUUGAGGAAGGUCUUCGGAGCGUAAAACUCUUUUAUGAGGGAAGCGGUACCUAAUCAGAAAGCCACGGCUAACUACGUGCCAGCAGCCGCGGUAAUUC